GCAAAAGAGUCUGUGAGCGAGCCAAGUGCUUGUUCCAGACCCUGCGCAGCGCCGGGCGAUAUUUCCGCCUCACAGCCCCUCUCUUGCAGGCAGCUCUUCGGCACUGACCCAUCUGCAGGAGGGCAGGGGGCCCUGCCACGUGUGCUGUGCACUCCCCUCCACGUGUGCUGCGUGAACCGUGAGACUGAGCCUCUGCCACCGGCCACAACAGCAGAACCACAGCCAGGAGAGAAGGGGACAAACCAUACUACCCAGAGUGAAAACCAGUCAGCAAAAGGUGAAGCAUAGAUGUUCUCUGCCCAGAAAACCUUAAACAAGAGAUGGAUAUGAAUGACAGAUCAAGAGAGUUUCAGUUUGCAGAGGCAGGUCUGAAUGGAGUAAUAACCGUGAUUCACAAAACGUGUCACCCAGGAGCAGAAAAGAUGUACAACUAAGCCUCCUAUACCGUAUUUCCAUUACCAGUUCCUGAUGGAGAGGCCUGGGGCUAUCUGGUUGUGGACUUUAAGUGAUGGUUCAACAUUGUAGCAGUGCAGAAAACUAAGAUUUAAGAUUUUUGAAUUAAGAAUUUGAUUGGAGUCCUCAAGAAGUUUAAUGCCCAAAAGGAUUUGUUAUCUGAGCUGGAAAAAAAGUGCACAGGAACCCACUGCUCUUCUGAACCCACCAACCGCCUCCUUACUGCUGAUUUUGCAAGGUUUAAUGUGUACUUGCUGCACGUGGAAGCAGAAUUUGAACUCCUCUGGGUUUUUGGUGGUCUCUGAAGAAAUGCUUCCUAUUUAUGAAAGUGGGACACCAAAGGAACAAGGAGCACCAGAAAAUACAGCAAAAAGACUUCAACCAUUUAGUGACAGCUUCAAGACCUGAGCAACAUUUAAAGAAGCCAGAUGAAUUAGAAGAUUGUAAAAGUAUCUCCGCUCUCUCUGAAGCAGGUGAUGGUGUGAAGGAGGUUAUCUGGUGCUGUCAUUAUUAAGAGGGGCAAUAUCUCACUGCAAAAGAGGUGCUGAAGGUAGUGAUUGUCCCUGGGGCAGGAGGAAAGGAAAGGCGUGCGUGUUUACAGCUCCCUGCUAAGGCACACACACCGCUGACAGGUGCGGCGUGAACGCGACACUUACUUGGAAACAAAAGUGAGACAUUGGUGGAAAGUGAAAAUGGAAAACAUUCCAGAUGCCAGGUGGAAAAUGAUAUUAAAGCUGUCAAAAUAAAUCACAACAAAUACUGGGUUUUCUUCUAGACUAACAGGAGUCAUGUUCUGGAGAAGAAUGGAGGUUUCAACUACAAGGUGGAGUGUCAUAAAUGAAACAAUUAUGAGCAUUGGAGGUUAAAUUUGAACCUAUUUGUUUUGGGGUUUUAUCUUUAGUCUCUUUAUUUUUCCUUUUUCUCUUUCAAGUGCACUGCAGCAUUCCUGAUUUACUCUACAGUUUGUGGACAGGUCAAAAAUGUGUAAAUAAAUCCUACUGUCACUGCUUCACAUAGUUAUCUAUUCUGGGCCUAAUUCCAAGCCCUGUUAAAUUGAUGGCAAUCCUUCCAUUGGCAUCAGAGGACUGCAGUUUAGAACCUGUGAUGGAGGUGCAAAGCAUCACUAGAGAGGAUGGAUAAACAGCCUCUGCAGUAAUCCAAAGUGAGUUUCUGAAACACAGUAAGGGAAGCAAACCUUGAAUGACAUUCAAGGUCAAAUAUGCUUUAUGUAUAUGGUAAUAGAACUUUUAAAAAAGACAGCUCCACCUAGCAUGCAUUAAACAUCUUAAAUAUUAUAAAAGACAUUAUUCAGAUUUAAGACUGACAAUCUGAACAGAUAACCCAGUAUUUUACUUUAAAAAAUCAGCUGCACUGUUUAUACUUGGGUGGAAAACCGCAGAUCAGAACAAAGUUUGCUGUAUUUCCUUAGUGCAGCCAAGGAAAUUUAUUCUGCUGAUUGAGGAUUUUACUUGUCCAUGUAUUCACUUUCAUGCACUGGUAGAUUCUUAUCAGCAAUUUAUCUGCAAUUUUGUGGCUGAAUUUUGCUUCUUUAUGCAAUGUUACUUAAGCACAAGAAAAUGUGCCUACAUUAAAUUCCUUAUGCUCCUGAUGAAAUACUCCUAACAAACAAUAAUUCAUUCUGAACGUUUACCCCCCAAAGUAUAAUUAUUACUUAAAAUAUAAAAUACAUCUCUAUUCUUUCGUGAUGGACUUUUCAUGCGGGCUGUUGAUGUGUUAGAAAGAACCAGACUCCCAGAGGAAUGGGUAGAAGCUUGAUUGCAGCUAGAGAUAGACAAUGCAGCAGCAGCAGUAACUGGAGACUGUUCACACAACACACCAUAAUGGCCAUUAUGGAGCUGUUAACCUCUAGUGUGUCAAAACCUACUCAGAAACUGGUUGAAUUCGUAGACUGCUGAUCCAAGUGGUUCCUUUAAAUUCAGCAAAAAAUGAACUGAAGGGCUAUUCUGCAUUUGAGCUAUAAAUCCUUGGAAAUAUCCGUUAAUAAUGGAAAUAAUGACAGACCUUUACUGUAGCUGCAUGGAUGGUGCUGGUAUUAAUAAUGCAGAAGUGCAAGGCAGGACAGCUCUUAGAAGUUGAUGGCUGCUGAAGUGCAGAAAACCUCAUUAAAACAACCUAAAGGAUGGUGUAUUAUUAUAACAACUUUUUUUCUACAGUGCCCUUCAACUAUCAUAAUUGCACAGUAUAUGGAGCAACUUGAAAAGAUUUAGAAAUGUGUAAGAAGGAAAAUCUCUGGCCACAGUUACUGGCAGCCUAAUUAUGUGAAUAUAUUGUGUACUCUGCAUCCUGAUCUUUAGUUUUGAGAGCCCGUGGAUUUGUGGAUGAUGAAUAAUGUGGUGUCUAACCAAAAUAUCAGCACUAAAUUGCUGGAAUAGAUAUUCAGCCUUAAAUAAUUGCUUUGGAUUUUUUGUUGAUUUCAAGCAGUAGAAUAGUUAUGACUAAACUUGCAGUUGCUAAAUGUAAACAUGUUGUAUUAUUUUUGCAUUUAAGAUUUUAUAGAACUGUGGAUAGGAGUGGUUGUUGUCAAGGGUGUUUAUGGGAUUUUCAGUUGAUGUCUCUGAGGAUGAGGUCUAAUAACACCACCUCAUCUGAGGGUACUGCUCAAAGGCCAGUGGAGUGGGCUGCUGUUUGUGCUACAGAUAUUUCAUAAAUGCCAGUUGUACUGUGGUUACUUCCACAGACAAGGAAAGCCACCACUUGGUUUGGGGCUUUGAUUAGUGUUUGAUAAUUCAGUUUAACAGGAUCCAGACCACACUGGGCUGCAGUCCCUGUGCAACGUGCUGUACCCUGCAAUGCACCGAGCUAAUAUUUAGAGGUAAAGAUCCAAAUCUAACGUCUGCACUGGCAUAUAAUAGAGUAUUCAAAGUAAGUGGGUUUUAUAAAAUGUUUGAUGGCUGGAAAUUACUAGUCUAGAAGGGUACGCGCGAUUAAAUGUUAAGUCACUCAAAAAGUGCAAGUUUACCUCAAAGACAUUUCCACAAUGCCUUUGGAGAAAGAAGUAUUUCAACUCGUUCUCACUGAAUAACCAAUCCUGGCCUAAGGUACAGUGUAGUGAUGCUUAUACAUCGCUCCACUGCCUCUGCAAAGCCACUUGAGCCAAUUUUGUACAACACUUCUGUGGCGGCAGCAUCAGGCGGCCCUUCAGCGGCACUCCAGCACGGGGCUCCCGGCUGGAGGCUUUCUGUCGCAGACACACAGCAAGUGCUUCAGAUAUUUCCCAAGUGGAGAAACCAAUUGAGCUCAGCCAAGUGGGAGCAGAAGGUUAAGAGCGUACAGUUAAGGCCGAGAGAUCUUCGUCUUCGCUCAGAGG